rnacentral:lncRNA from 13 species
AUGGUUUCCUUCCUAAAGGGCCUCAAGACAUUUAAGAAAUGGACGAAGCAAUCACGGCUUCUUGAGGAGACCCCAGUCACUGAGGCGGAAGGCAUAGGUGAGCUUCUCACAAGCUUGGGGCAACUUGGAGGCUUCAUGACUGAGGGAAACAAGCUGUUUUCCUCUGCUGCUGUGACCCUGCAACAGUCAACACAGAAGAUGUCCAUGGCCCCCGGACACCAAGAAGCAUGUGGAGUCUCUCCCCACCACAGGCAACCAAUCAAUUUUGCAGGAGAUGCCAGAAUGUGCAGGUGUCUCUCGGAGCUCAUGAAGAAACCCCAAUCCCUAAAAACCUGGGGAAUGACAUCACUCUCUGGAGCAGUCCCACUCUGUGAUUCUGACACCGAGCCACACGCAGAGGCACACAGAGCAAGGGGGCGCUUUCUCCUCCCCCUCCCAGCCGACUGGAAGCCUCCCUGUGAACCUGGCAUCCACACAGCCCUUCACCAUACUCAAACCCUGAAAACCUGCAUGAAAAGCUCCACUUAA